AAGACUAUACUUUCAGGGAUCAUUUCUAUAGUAUGUAACUGUGAACUCAAAUCUGUUUUGUUUUGUUUAUAUUCCCAGGGUUAUCAUUGGG
rnacentral:snoRNA from 1 species